UUGCAGACCCGGAGCCCUAAUGUACGAGAGUGGAUUUUGGAAAGAAAACCAAAAAAUGCUAGGGCUGCUGCAGAACUGGCAGAUGACUAUGCCGACAUCCAUGCACCCACAUCCAGGCGUGGACUUGUGUCAGCUGCUACUUCGACCUGGAGAGAAGCUACAGUUCAAACACCACCUGUAAGAUCUGCAGUGAGAACUUCACCGCCGACUGCCAGCGUAGCCGGGGCUAUGUCAAGUGAGUCAGAUGCCCGCUAUUGUUUUCGAUGCAACCAGAUUGGUCAUCUGAGCAGGACUUGCCCCACUAGGAAUAUGCCCUCACCAGUCCGUGGAGGGGCACCAUCAGUAUUGCUUGUGGGUGGGUCCGUGGGGAAACAAGAGGAUAACCUGCAGAGUGUAAUUGUGGGUGACCGAGUGACCAUGGGACUGAGAGAUUCUGGAGCUUCCUUCACCC